rnacentral:rRNA from 1 species
UACGUAGGGAGCAAGCGUUGUCCGGAGUCAUUGGGCGUAAAGCGCGCGUAGGUGGCCUCAUAAGUCCGUUGUGAAAGUCAAAGGCUCAACCUUUGAAAGCCGAUGGAUACUGUGAGACUAGAGUACGGAAGAGGCGAGUGGAAUUCCUGGUGUAGCGGUGGAAUGCGCAGAUAUCAGGAGGAACACCAAUAGCGAAGGCAGCUCGCUGGGACGUUACUGACACUGAGGCGCGAAAGCGUGGGGAGCGAACAGG